rnacentral:rRNA from 1 species
AUGGAGCGUCUCGUGAAGGCUAUAGAAGCUCAUGAGGAACCAAAGAAGGCUGGCAAGCGAGGAGUUGAUGAGGAUCACGCGAGCCGCCUUCGACAACCAGCGCCCUUUCCAGGGCUCAACCCGGUGUUGCAUACGGGUCACCAUGGGCGAAGAUCUGCCACAGCAGUCUUCCUGAAGCUAGAUUUCCACAAAGCGUACGACACGGUCCACUGGCCCUUCUUGCGGGAAGUGCUGCUUCGCAAGGGUUUUGACGACCAUUGGGUGACUCGAGUCAUGCAACUUGUCUCCUGCGGCCGGACCACGGUGAACAUUAACAGAGAUAUUGGGCCCUACUUCCCCACCCUUUAUGGGGUUCAUCAGGGUGACCCAUUCUCGUUGUUCUUGUUCAACAUGGUAGUUGAUGCCCUGGCCUCCAUCCUUGACAAGGCCAAGGAUGCCGGCCAUAUCCACGGCUUCGUUCCCCACCUAGUCGGAGGGGGAGGGGUCUCCCUCCUACAAUAUGUGGAUGAUACCAUAAUAAUGGUGGAGGGAUCUGUUCAGGACAUAGCUAACCUGAAGUUCCUCCUCCGGUGCUUCCAACAGAUGUCUGAGCUAACCAUCAAUUUUGGUAAGAGCGAAGCGAUGGUUCUUGGGUAUUCCACCGAGGAAGCACAGGCUAUUACUUGCAUGCCUUAUAAACCGAGACGGAGGAAGUAUGAUGCUCUGUUUUUUUUUCAAACCAUGUAG